GCCACUAAUAACAAUCCUGGUGGCGAGUGGCGAACGGGUGAGUAAUAUAUCGGAACGUGCCCAGUCGUGGGGGAUAACGCAGCGAAAGCUGUGCUAAUACCGCAUACGAUCUACGGAUGAAAGCGGGGGAUCGCAAGACCUCGCGCGAUUGGAGCGGCUGAUAUCAGAUUAGCUAGUUGGUGGGGUAAAGGCCUACCAAGGCGACGAUCUGUAGCUGGUCUGAGAGGACGACCAGCCACACUGGAACUGAGACACGGUCCAGACUCCUACGGGAGGCAGCAGUGGGGAAUUUUGGACAAUGGGCGCAAGCCUGAUCCAGCAAUGCCGCGUGCAGGAUGAAGGCCUUCGGGUUGUAAACUGCUUUUGUACGGAGCGAAAAGGUCUUUCUUAAUACGAGAGAUUUAUGACGGUACC
rnacentral:rRNA from 1 species